UCAAAUCAUCAUGCCCUUUAUGUCCUGGGCUACACACGUAAUACAAUGGCGCAUUAACAAAGGGAAGCAAAGGCGCGAGCCGGAGCAAAUCCCCAAAAGGCGUCUCAGUUCGGAUUGCAGGCUGCAACCCGCCUGCAUGAAGUCGGAAUUGCUAGUAAUCGCGGAUCAGCACGCCGCGGUGAAUACCGUUCCCGGGCCUU
rnacentral:rRNA from 1 species